rnacentral:lncRNA from 1 species
GUGUCCAGGGCUCCUGGGCCAGAUCCUGGUAAAUGGAGUGGCUCUGCUGACCUUCCCCAAAGAGAAGCCAGAGUGUACCCCCUCCUGGCAACUCUGGGUAGCAGCUGGAUCUGAGCAGUCAAGACCUUGGUCUGAGGAUAACCACCAAGCAAGUAGCUUAGUAUGAGGGUCAUGGGAGAGCUAUUGGUUUGUGGUUUGCUGUUCUGGGAACACCUGAGCUGGGGCCACCUGAAUCCUUCAGCUGCUCAGCCUCGCCUUCUAUGUAUUGGGUGCUUCUAGAGGUGCUGUCUCCUACUACCCAGCACAGUCCCAACCUUUCCUUUAUCCCUAUCGACAAAGGAUGUAUAUCCUAGAGGGCAGAGGCAUUGUGCCUGAGACUUGUGGAACACACACCCCUCCCACACUGAUGGCACAGCCAGGUCAUCAAUCCUGGGGCCUCAGGAAGGGGCCUAGCUUGACCAAGCUGCAAAGCCAAGAUGGUCUCCAUGUGUCUGAGCUCUGAAUCAUGUGUCCCAGCUCAGAACUCUGAGAAAUGCAAGGCCAAGAUCCUGGGCAUCCCACCCACCCCACCACCCUGUGGAGGAAGGAGCCAGCUUUUGUAUGUGUAGUAACAGCUUUAAUCUGUGGUGGCCAACACAUUGGUCAGGACCCUGCUGGCCUUCCACCCUCCCGUGUCCAAGCAGGAGGAGUCAUUUCUCAGGAGUUGAAGCAGGCGCCACGUGCAGAGAGCAGCCCUGUCCACACAGCUGCAGGACCUACCCCAGGGAAAAACAAAACUUCAAGUCAGAUGCCAAGAAGGAAACAUGGUUCCAGACACCUGGACUCUAGCCUGGGAAAUAUGGACUUCAUCCAGGGCAGUGACGGUCUGCCUAGAGGGUGUGGACUCCAGGAGGCCAGAGCAGGUCAUACCUACAGAACAGUGGCCCCUGUAGUGAGAGGGGCCAGCACUGUCCACCCCAUUCAGGGAGUGAAUUCCACACAGUCAAGAUCUCAAGUCCUGGAAUCAGAAAAAAGGGUCCUAGUGCACUUCUGCCUCAGCCUCCGCACAAAGCCCUUGAAGGUUACUACAGUUACAGUCAGGGCAUGGAGUGGCUGUGUGGCUUAG